rnacentral:rRNA from 1 species
AACGAACGCUGGCGGCAGGCUUAACACAUGCAAGUCGAACGCCCCGCAAGGGGAGUGGCAGACGGGUGAGUAACACGUGGGAACAUGCCCAAAGGUACGGAAUAUUCUCGGGAAACUGGGAGCAAUACCGUAUGUGCCCGAAAGGGGAAAGAUUUAUCGCCUUUGGAUUGGCCCGCGUUGGAUUAGCUAGUUGGUGGGGUAAAAGCCUACCAAGGCGAUGAUCCAUAGCUGGUCUGAGAGGACGACCAGCCACACUGGGACUGAGACACGGCCCAGACUCCUACGGGAGGCAGCAGUGGGGAAUCUUGGACAAUGGGCGCAAGCCUGAUCCAGCCAUGCCGCGUGAGUGAUGAAGGCCCUAGGGUUGUAAAACUCUUUCGUGGGGGACGAUAAUGACGGUACCCCAGGAAGAAACUCCGGCUAACUUCGUGCCAGCCGCCGCCGUAA